UUGAUCACACAGCUGUAGCUGUUGUUCUCCUGAUAUUCCACCUCCAGAGGUAGAGAGAGACUGAUGCUGAGAUCAGACACACUGAUGCUGGACAAUAAACUGUUUCCUUUGUACCAGGAGAGAGUCACAUGACCCACAUUCACCACUGAACACAACAAUGAACAAUUCUGCUGUGAUGAUGAUGAUGAUGAUGAUGAAGAACAUUGUGAAAAGUCUCUGCUGAUGACAGGAACAGGAAGACGAGCUGAACACAUGAGAGAAUAGCCAAAAACUCGGGUCAUAUUUGCCUGUUCUUUGCCUUUACUGCUGCAGUUGGCACGUCAGAUACGCACGUCAGAUACCAGAAAGCAGAACAAACUUGUCCCACUUCAUUGCUGUUGCUAUGUCUGACAAGCCAUGAUGAAAAAUCCAUCACAGAACAAAGAGGAAACUGGCAGCACACCAGCAGGCAUGAUAGAGCAGGUUACUCUAGAAGUCUGAGAUCUACUAGUGAGAAACACCUUGUGGUGCCAUCAUAGAAAGGCACAACAUCACAUUCCAGAACAUUCUCAUUCACCGUUCCUGGCUGGUGGGGUGAUCUUCCCAUUCCUACCCAGAUUGCUGAUUCCCCACAAUUUUCAAGUGACAUCUGAAAACUCAUCUCUUUCAUCAUUCCUAACGUCAUCUUUAAAAAAAAUCACACCUUUGCUUCACUUUACUUAUUCCCCUGUCUAGCUCGUACUAUUUGAAAAAUCCCUGAAACUUGGUAUUAUCAGUACUUCCUGUGUCUGUUUACCUCUUUAAUGCGAAUCGUUUGAUGUAUUCCCCAAUUGUAUAUUGCUUUGGAUAAAAGUGUCUGCUAAAUGAAUAAAUCUAAAUGUAAACAUCUUUAAUGUGUUGGGAAAGAUUGCUGUAACGCCUGAAUUGCGGAGAGAUGGCAAUAUACACAAUUUCAGUUCAGGUCCACUAAUAUUAAUCUAUUACUGUCUGGACAAAAAUGGCAGGUUCUGUAUUAUGAUUGGUCAGAUCGCCUGUCAGUGAAACUCCCAGUGGGAAUAGCAGUCAGAGUGUGCAGUUACAAAAUCUACCAGCAGGUGCAAAUGGAACAAAACUGUAAAUGAUGUUCUUUUUUCAAGGUCUUUCUCUACUAUUGAAAAGGACAUGACAUACAGCCAAGUAUGGUGACCAUACUCAGAAUUCAUGCUCUGCAUUUAACCCAUCCAAAGUGCACAUGCACAGCAGUGAACACACACCCCGAGUAGUGGUCAGCCAUUUAUGCUGCGGUACCCAGGGAGCAGUUGGGGCCCAAGACUCAAACCCACAACCCUAGGGUUAGGAGUCAGACUCUCUAACCACUAGACCAUGACUUCCCCACUACUGUACUAUGUCUGUGAAAGAUUUCUAAUGUUUAGGCUACAUGAUAAUGUUAUUUUUCUGCUUGCAGGUGGAAAUGUAAAAUGUUUAUAUUGUAAUUCCACAAGACUCAUUUCACCUGUUUACCUUGUCUUUUUAUUGUUUUAAAUAACCACUAAAUAUAGCUGCAGUCAGCAAUUACAGGGCCAAGCACUAAAGAAACAAGCAUCAGACAAACUGCAGAAAUUAGUAACUUAAGUCAUUUUAGGAUGAUUUCAGUCAAAACUACUGAAAAAAAAAAUCAUAAAUACAACCUCUAGUAAUAUGAUUUAUUGGC